rnacentral:rRNA from 1 species
CAGUAGCCGCGGUAAUACAGAGGGUGCGAGCGUUAAUCGGAUUUACUGGGCGUAAAGCGUGCGUAGGUGGUGGUUUAAGUCCGUUGUGAAAGCCCUGGGCUCAACCUGGGAAUUGCAGUGGAUACUGGGUCACUAGAGUGUGGUAGAGGAUAGUGGAAUUUCCGGUGUAGCAGUGAAAUGCGUAGAGAUCGGAAGGAACAUCUGUGGCGAAGGCGACUAUCUGGGCCAACACUGACACUGAGGCACGAAAGCGUGGGGAGCAAACAGGAUUAGAGACCCCUGUAGUCCCUGUCUCUUAUAC